rnacentral:rRNA from 1 species
UACAGAGGUCCCAAGCGUUGUUCGGAUUCACUGGGCGUAAAGGGUGCGCAGGUGGUCGGGUAAGUCUGACGUGAAAUCCCGCAGCUUAACUGCGGAAUGGCAUUGGAUACUAUUCGGCUAGAGGGUUGGAGGGGGGACUGGAAUUCUCGGUGUAGCAGUGAAAUGCGUAGAUAUCGAGAGGAACACCGGUGGCGAAGGCGGCAUCCUGGACCGGUAUUGACGCUGAGGCGCGAAAGCCAGGGGAGCAAACGGG